GAAGAAGCCAGUCAGCGUGUCCGUCUCACAUCCUGCCCGACAGCGACACCUGGAGGGCCGGUGGGACUGGAUGGUGCUUGAGGGCUGAAGCCGGAGCAGGGGGACUGCAGAACCGCAACUACUGUGGGCGGAACCGGAUUUGGUAAUUUGAGAGAAGAGUGUGCUCUGAUUUUCCACCACCAGGGGACACACGUGUAACCAGCAGCGAGGGUUGCCUGGGAUGGAAAGAAGGAAGUUAAUAUAUUUGAUAAGGAUACAUAUGAACAGAUUCAUCUUUAACACGCAUUGCUCACUGGUGUCCUGCACUCCCCAGCAGGCUACAGAUGUCAUGAAAAGCAUCUUCAGGUGUUGCACGUCAUCAGCCACUCUAAACAACCAGUGCUGUAGAGUUUGGAUAAUUGAAUUCAUCCACUUGCUUAGAACG